AAUAAGUGCAGCCGUGGAUAUCCGUGCCCAACGUUUGACCAUCUGUCUUAUUUGAAAAUUUUAUAAAAAAUUUAAAAAUAUUUAGUCACACAUAAAGUAUUAUUCAUGUUUUAUCAUCUAAUAACAAUAAAAAUACUAAUCAUAAACAAUUUUAAAUAAGACGAACGGUCAAACGUUGAACAUAAAUAGUGCAAAACUGCAUUUAUU
rnacentral:pre_miRNA from 1 species